AUUGAACGCUGGCGGCAUGCCUUACACAUGCAAGUCGAACGGCAGCACGGGUGCUUGCACCUGGUGGCGAGUGGCGAACGGGUGAGUAAUACAUCGGAACGUACCUUAUCGUGGGGGAUAACGCAGUGAAAGCUGUGCUAAUACCGCAUACGCCCUGAGGGGGAAAGCGGGGGAUCGAAAGACCUCGCGCGAUUAGAGCGGCCGAUGCCUGAUUAGCUUGUUGGUGGGGUAAAAGCCCACCAAGGCGACGAUCAGUAGCGGGUCUGAGAGGACGAUCAGCCACACUGGGACUGAGACACGGCCCAGACUCCGACGGGAGGCAGCAGUGGGGAAUUUUGGACAAUGGGGGCAACCCUGAUCCAGCAAUGCCGCGUGAGUGAAGAAGGCCUUCGGGUUGUAAAGCUCUUUUGUCAGGGAAGAAACACCGGCUCUAACACAGUCCGGGAAUGACGGUACCUGAAGAAUAAGCACCGGCUAACUACGUGCCAGCAGCCGCCGUAA
rnacentral:rRNA from 1 species